rnacentral:rRNA from 1 species
GACGAACGCUGGCGGCGUGCUUAACACAUGCAAGUCGAACGGCAAGGCCCUGCUUUCGUGGGGUGACCGAGUGGCGAACGGGUGAGUAACAGGUGAGUAACCUGCCCUUGACUUUGGGAUAACUUCAGGAAACUGGGGCUAAUACCGGAUAGGAGCUCCUGCUGCAUGGUGGGGGUUGGAACGUCUCGGCGGUUGGGGAUGGACUCGCGGCUUAUCAGCUUGUUGGUGGGGUAGUGGCUUACCAAGGCUUUGACGGGUAGGCGGCCUGAGAGGGUGACCGGCCACAUUGGGACUGAGAGACGGCCCAGACUCCUACGGGGGGCAGCAGUGGGGAAUAUUGCACAAUGGGCGGAAGCCUGAUGCAGCAACGCCGCGGGCGGGAUGACGGCCUUCGGGGUGUAAACCGCAUUCGCCUGUGACGACGCGUGAGUGACGGUAAUGGGUAAAGAAGCACCGGCUAACUACGUG